UACGAACUGUGCGAACGUUAUUCGGAAUCACUGGGCUUACAGGGUGCGUAGGCGGCUUAGCAAGUCAGGUGUGAAAGCCCCCGGCUCAACCGGGGAACUGCGCUUGAAACUGCUGAGCUCGAGUCAACUAGAGGUGCACGGAACUUCCAGUGGAGCGGUGAAAUGUGUUGAUAUUGGAAGGAACACCGGAGGCGAAAGCGGUGCACUGGGGUUGGUCUGACGCUGAGGCACGAAAGCCAGGGGAGCGAACGGG
rnacentral:rRNA from 1 species